GCAGCGGCUUGGGAGCGCAGAGCGGCCGCGGCUCCCCCGCACCUGCGGCCAUGGAUGAGGAGCGCGCCCUCUACAUCGUCCGGGCCGGCGAAGCGGGGGCUAUCGAGCGGGUCCUAAGGGAUUACAGCGACAAGCAUAGGGCUACUUUCAAAUUUGAAUCAACAGAUGAAGAUAAGAGAAAGAAACUGUGUGAAGGCAUAUUUAAAGUCCUUGUAAAGGACGUCCCAACAACAUGUCAAGUGUCCUGCCUGGAAGUACUCCGCAUUCUCUCCAGAGACAAAAAGAUUUUAGUUCCUGUAACAACCAAGGAAAACAUGCAGAUAUUGCUGAGACUAGCCAAGCUAACUGAGUCGGAUGAUUCUUUGGAGAAGGUGUCAGAGUUCCCAGUUAUUGUGGAAUCAUUAAAGUGUCUAUGUAACAUAGUGUUCAACAGUCAGAUGGCACAGCAGCUCAGCCUGGAACUUAAUCUUGCUGCAAAGCUCUGUAACCUCCUGAGAAAGUGCAAGGACCGAAAAUUUAUCAAUGACAUUAAGUGCUUUGACUUGCGCUUGCUCUUUCUCCUGUCACUUUUGCACACUGACAUCAGGUCACAAUUGCGCUAUGAGCUCCAGGGACUACCGCUGCUAACCCAGAUCUUGGAAAGUGCCUUUAGCAUCAAGUGGACCGAUGAGUAUGAAUCGGCCAUAGAUCAUAAUGGACCUCCUCUCUCACCUCAGGAGACAGACUGUGCCAUUGAGGCCCUCAAAGCUCUCUUCAAUGUGACAGUAGACAGUUGGAAGGUGCAUAAAGAGAGUGACUCUCAUCAAUUCCGUGUCAUGGCAGCUGUCCUUCGCCACUGUUUACUAAUCGUAGGUCCAACUGAAGACAAAACAGAAGAGUUGCACAGCAAUGCAGUCAACCUUUUAAGCAAUGUUCCCGUCUCUUGUUUGGAUGUUCUCAUUUGUCCAUUAACCCAUGAAGAAACAGCCCAAGAGGCAACGACUUUAGAUGAACUGCCCAGUGAUAAAACAGCUGAGAAAGAAACAGUUUUGAAAAACAAUACCAUGGAAUACAAUGGUAUGAAUAUGGAAGCCAUUCAUGUUUUACUCAAUUUUAUGGAGAAGAGAAUAGACAAGGGAAGCAGCUAUAGAGAGGGUCUAACUCCAGUUCUCAGCUUAUUAACAGAAUGUUCCCGAGCCCAUCGAAACAUCAGAAAAUUUCUCAAAGAUCAGGUUUUACCACCAUUGAGGGAUGUGACAAAUCGACCUGAAGUUGGCUCAACUGUGAGAAAUAAGCUGGUGCGCCUCAUGACACAUGUUGACCUUGGAGUCAAGCAAAUUGCUGCUGAAUUCCUUUUUGUCCUUUGCAAAGAGAGAGUGGAUAGCCUGCUGAAAUAUACUGGCUAUGGGAAUGCUGCAGGACUGUUGGCGGCCAGGGGCCUCUUGGCUGGAGGAAGAGGAGAUAAUUGGUACUCAGAGGACGAGGAUACAGACACUGAAGAAUACAAAAAUGCAAAACCAAACAUUAAUCUUAUCACUGGUCAUUUAGAGGAACCAAUGCCAAACCCCAUAGAUGAAAUGACAGAAGAACAAAAAGAAUAUGAAGCCAUGAAACUUGUCAACAUGCUUGAUAAACUUUCCAGGAGAGCAGAUGUGAAGGACCUGCACCAGGAUGGUGGUUAGCAACAAUGGCCCGUGCCAAAGCACUUACCAAAGGUUGGUCAUGCCAAGUACUGUUACUGAGCCUGGUGUAGGGUAGAUGUUAUUCACUAUUAAAAAGUGUAAAACCACCAAUGUAAAGCCUAAAACUACAUUUUAAUUUUUCCCCCAUGCUGGACUUAGCCACUGUCUCAAGGAGCUCACCACCUGCUAAGCUUUAUCUCAGCUAGACUUCCAAAGACAGUGGAGAGAUUAGUGCUCAUAUAUUUUCUUUUCAUUAAAUGCCAAAUGAUUUAGUAGUAUUUUAAGUGAUUUUGUAUUUCUUUAGUAUAAGGAUUAUCUCUGUAACAGAUGUUUAUAUAAACCCUUGUAUAGGAAUUGGCAGUAUACCUGGAGGUCUUCAGAGUUGGAGAAUCACCUGAACCCUAUUAUUUCCUUCAUAUCUAGCUAUAAUAUAGUGCCUUGAACCUUUGGUUUCUCCAGUACAUGAUGAUGAAAUGAUGAAACAGGUGGUCCCCAAAUAUGAAGGUCAGGUUUCUUGCUCUAUAAAAUAGCCUACAUGGUUUAAGACUUUGAAGCUCAUUUUGUCAGUUCCAUUUCUUAUCCAGACUUGAUAAAAGUCAAGGCAGAAAGAGAAUUCUACAAAGCACUGUAGACCAUGACUAGGCAGUUUAAAUAUUUAGUGCAUAAUUUCUUUACCAUGGAAUGAUAAUUAAAAUGUUUAUCAAAUAUAAGAAUUAAAGCCUACAGGUAGCAUAUGCCUGUAAUCCCAGCAGCUUGGGAGGCUGAUGCAGGAGGAUCACAUGUUCAAGGCCAGCCUCAGCAACUUGGCAAGACCCUGUCUCAAAUUAAAAAAUAAAAAGAACUGGGGAUGUAGCUCAAUGGUAAAAGCCCUACUAGAGAUGAGAAUGUUGAUUGUGUGAAAACAAGCCCAGUGUGCCUGAGAGCAUUGCAUCUGCUUGGAUGCACCAGGCUCCUCACAUGUGAUGAUGCCUGCUCCAGAAAAGGGCAGAGAACAUCCAUUAAGUUUAAAUUAACCAAGGGAAUGAUAUUCCAAGUAACAGUUUUGUUUUGAAUUUUUAAAUCCUUAAUUGAUGCCAGAAUUGAUUAAUCCUCCACUCCACCCUCCCUCUAUCACUGUUUAACAAGGUACAUUGCCUGUUUGCUUUUAUGUUCUACCAUUAAAAUCUGUUUUAAAACUUAUAUGUAUAUAAAUAAAUUAUUGUCCUAUCAUUUCUUCUUUUUCCCAUCCACUCACUUAGCCAAAAAUUUGUAGUUUUUCAAAAAAUUUUAUUAUUUUGCCAGCCAUAAUGAUAUUUGGAUGUGGCUUUCUUAAUAAAUGCAAGUGCCAAAUAUUUAAAAAUUCCUUUAUUUCAAAGGUCAUUUUUAAAACUACUAAGGCUGAGAGUAAUUUAGGACUGAAAUUUAACAGCUAUGUAGUUUUUCCUUAAAAAGUAUUUUAUUCUUCUUAACUAAAUAUCAACAACUAUGAUUACAUCUAUCUUGUAAUGAGUUAGUCAAGAAAAUGUUUUUUAGAUACAUUUCAGAAACAUGAUCCAAUUCUUAAAGCACUGUAAAAACUGUUGUAGGUAUUAAUAUAUAAAGAUUUAAUUGGUUCCAUCAGAAUAUCCUUCAAAUCUGCACUCUCCAGUACGGUAACCAUUAGCCUUACAUGACUGUUGAGCACUUGAAAUGUGGUUAGUCCAAAUUGGGAUGACCUCUAAAUGUAAAAUACUCACUGAGUUUCAAAGACUUAAUAAUAAUAAAAAAACAAAGAAUGUUAAAUAUCUUACUAAUUGUUUAAUAUGGAUUACCUAUCAAAAUGAUAUUUUUUAUCUACUGAGUUAAGUAAAAUACAUUAAACAGCAAAUUUUAACUAUUUUUUUUCAAUGUGGCUACUAGAAUAUCAAUAUUACAUAUAUAGCUUACAUUGUCUUGCAUUUUAUUUUUAUUAGCAUUGCUCUCCAUCAUUAAAAUGUACUGUAAGGUUGCUUGGAAAUUCAAUUACUGGGACUUGGAUCCAGUUAAAUUAAUAAUAUACAGGGGCAAGGGAGGAUUAAUUUGAGAAACUCGGUAGUUCUAUCAUUAGGUUAUAGAGGACCUUUCCAGUGGUAAGAUACCCGAGUAGGGGGCCAUAAUCCCUGUGGUAUGAGGUAGCCUCCAUAUUCCCUCUAGGUAGUCAGUGUCGAUCUGUAACAGGAAUGACUGCUUGGAGUUCUUGGUUAAAGCACUAGCUGAAAUGGCUUUUGACCCUUAGAAAAGGGUAAAAUAAGAAGAGUCUCUACUGGCUGUUUAUAAGUUAAGGUUUUUUUUAACUUUUAAGCAUUCCUAAUUGGGAAGAGCAUAAAAAGGACUUCUUUUUUUCCCAACAGUGUCAGUUAGCAUGCUGACUGCUUCAUGUUUAUUUUGUCAAUUUGGACUAUAGGGUAGAAAAGUUCUGAGUAGAUCACCAAGAAAUAAUAAAGAACACCAUCACCUAAGGAUAAAACUGAAUUUUAUUCUUCUAGCACUGUUCCUAAAAUCUUUCUCUGUAUUUUCUUAACCAUGCUGUUUAAUAUGAGGUGGGCAGCAAAUUUUUAGAAGCUUUGCAUGUAAUCUUCUAACAGAAAUGAGAGCAAUAAUAAAACACUAAUAUUUACAUAGUGCUUAACUGUAAAAAGUGCUUCCAUAUAUAUUAUCUCCAUUGAUCAUUAAAAUAGAGUAUUUUAUUAAGAGGUAUUUUAUUAAGAAGUAAAUGUAUCCAAGAUUAAAUAAAUGAACCCAGAUCAGGUAUCUAGUUAAGGACGCCUACCAGGACUUGGUUCUCGGUCUUCAGACUCCAGAUAUUAUACUGUUUUGCAAACUUACCAACAGCUCUCAAAAGAUUGUCAGUCUGAUUAUUUUUAAAUAAAACUUCUAAAUUUUAAACAAAUGUGGAGCACAAAAGACCAAUAGUAAGCACAAAUGUCUACCUUGGAAGAAUAUUAAGAUGUGGAAAACACAAGCAUCAUGCAAGCUGCUUUUCAUCCCAUAGCUGAGCUCUUAUCAAAGAUUAGAUUAUGUGCCCAAGAAAUACUUUAUAUUAUAUGAGGGAAACCAUAACAUUUCUGAUUCUGUUAAUACAAGGUUUGGUUUUUUUAUUAUUUUAAAGAGAAAAACUAAUAAUGAGUAUUCUAACAUUCUUACAUGUUAUUACACUAAUAAAAUCUAACUUUUAGACAUCCCAAUUACCUUUACAAAGUCAAUUGACAUGGUGAUAUGAGCAGUAUACCAUAUCUAGUUGUCUUGGGAAUAAUAUUUUACUUUCCCAGCAGUACCUAAUCUCAAAGCAUGAUGGUGAGAGAUAAGGAGAGACACUCAGAAUCAUUUAUGAAAGAUGCAGCCUGAAGACCUCAUAUUUGCUAUAGAAGAGCCACCAUACCCUCCUUCCUACUGUGUUAAAAACUUAGUGAAAGAUCAUAGAACUGGUCAGCACUCAGAAGCCACUAGAUGAAAGAGGGUCAGGGUCCAAGCCCAAAGGAUACUUUCACAGUAUCCAAUUGAGCAUGAUAAUCAGUCUCAAAGGUUAUAUAAUUCCUGUGAGAAAAAGGGGUUAAAAACACCUAUACUAAGUCACAGCUUAUUGAAAAUCCAUUGCACUGCAGUGGAUUAUAAGCAGUGUCCUAGACUUGGAAUUAUAACUAAGACUAUUAGAGCUGCUUUCUCCAGACCUCACAUGCUCCAUUCUAGCAGACAUUCUUAGAAGAGCUCUGUGUUAAUGAAAAUGCUUAUUUAUAUACUAGUUUUUCAUCCCAUCUUUCAAAUGUGAAAAGGAAUUAAAUAUGAAAUGCCUAAUUUAAAAUGUCAGGGUCCUUUUUUCCAAGCCAACCUUACAUUAAGAGCAGGAAUCCCUGAGCCAAAUAAAUGGUUCCCAAUUAUCUUGUCUUGGGUUUUGUUAUAUAUUGUUCAGAAGUCAACAAAACAAGUAUGUAACAGAACCUGCCUAAAUAGCAGCCACCCUCAUUAAAAACGGAGAAUUAAUCAGGGGUGAUUGAAGGAAGCAAUGCCUCAUAGAUUCCCCCUACACACACACUUUUCUUCUUUUCUAAUCAUAGAACAAAAUAUGUUACAUAAAAGGAUCGGAACGAUUAUUCAGUACUCAAUUAGAGGGAGGUGAAUAGGUCUCUAACAUGCUGUUUUAUCAAAAGAGCAGACUGGUGUUUGCAUGACUGUUGUUUCAUUACAGACCCUGUCAUUAAUUCCAUGUGUCAAUACUGCCCUGUAGUACACAGAGCAGACAAGAAAGAAGAGCCCUUGAAAACAAGGGAAUGAUUUUUGAGUCGUUAUCAAGCUAAGUGGCAAGCGGGAAGCUGAAACUCGUAUAGGUAAAUUCGAAGGGACUCUUGGGAGAUCUGCAAGUGGGAAACAAGAAUGCAUUUUACCAACUGCUUAAUUAUGUCCUGUUUUUCAGCAAGUACACUUGAAUUGAAUGCUUUGUUUGUAUUGCACAAAAACGUGCCGAGGGCAAGAGUAUUCUCUUGCUUCCAGGUCAAGUAAGGUGUUCUAUACACACACACAUCUGACCUAUUCUGUAAUGUGCAAUUGGGUAUGUUAGUAUCUGAGCCCCAAUUCUGCACUCUCAUUUCUGGGGGAAAGAGUCACAUAGGAACCAGAGCCCUAAAAAGUGGGACCUUCUCUAAGGUCCUGAGAAGUCAUGAAAGCCCAGGCAUUCCAGAGUGCCAUACCUACAGGAAAAUGGUGGCUCAGGAAACUGUUAACAUAUAUCUGGGGAAAAAAAACAGCCAGAGAAUUUUAAGUAUGUGUAAAUCCCAUCAUCUCCCACCCCUAGAUCAUUAAGACAUUUUUUUUGGUUUCCAUUAGCAGUUCCAAGGGUUAGGCUGGGGCAAAAUAGGGUUUCCUUUUUUGGACGUGCUUUACCUGUGUCCUCAUGCCUGGCCAAGCCCUUAUAGAUUAUGGUUCCUUAUCGUUUAGUAAGAUCAAAUUUCUAAAUGAUGUUUCGUUCCAGUUGAACAUUCUUGGAGGCUUAUCUCUUCCCUGGCCAGAUGCCUGAUCAGAUGAGAAGCCCGCCAUGAUACUGUCACAGUGCCUAGAAUGGGCUCUUUAUCCAGUAGACAUCACUGUACUUUUUGAUGAUAACGAGGGCAGUCUUAACUUAUGUUAAGGCCUGUGUAUAGCAUUGAAGAGAGGAGUUGCUUAAACCAAUGGGACUAAAACCUGAUGGGACAAUAACGCCUUUGGAGGAAGCACUCAACCAGUACUCUGUCCUGGAAGAGACCAGCUCCGACACAGACUGAAAGCAUCACCUGCUCAGCUCCCAGUAUUGCUUUUAUCAGCAUCUUUUCUCUGUAGCUCCAGGGGAAUCUUUUCUCUAAAACAUUUAUGCCCUUGCUUUGGCUAGAAACACAUUAACUGGUUUACUCAUUGAGAAUCCAGCAUAUUUAAGAGGUGAUCCUGUGUUUUUUGCGAUAUCGAGGCAUUCAUACAGAGCUGCAGUGAGGCAGAGUCACAGGGACUAGAAGCAGAAAAACAGUAAUUCCAUUUCAUCAGAUGGAACGAAGAACUUCAUUCUGUAAAGCAGCCCUGGCCGAAUCUGGCCAUUCUGUUUUCCAAGAUUCUUGACUGAAGAUUUAGCCAGGUCCUUCCUCUCACUUGGGUGAGCGGCCCCUUCUGAGUCUCUCGAGCAGCCAGAGGCACAUGAGAGCAGAAUGAGCUAGUAAAUAAGGACUGAGGCAAGUGACUCCUUAGGUCAAUACUGACUAAAUGGAAGCCAAGCAGCUGCUCUGUAAACCUAGCCCCACUCUUCAAUUUUAUAUACAUGUAGAAGCACACACACAAACACACACACACACAGGCCCCAGACUUACAAACUGACUACACCAGAAGUUUGUAUGUCUUAGCUAAAAUUUCAGAAUACAUUUCUCCCUGACAGGAGUUAUGAAUGAUGGUUUAGUUCCCAGGCAGCUACAGAUGCCUAUUUAUUCCCUAAUGUACCUGAACACUAGUACUGCAGAACUGAACCAGGGUAUGUACUGUGGCGGGGGAAGCGUGCGUUCUGAGGUCUGACUCGGAAUGCCAGGAACAUACACACCCUCCAUCCCAAUGAGAGAGUGAGGACUCCCUGAGUAGUGGGAACUAUUUUGUGGCCUCUUCUAGUAGGAGAGUCAAAGGCACCCAUUUGUACAUAAAGGUCAUUCAUACAUCAUGUUUUAAAUUGGGGUCAGUGUAUAUGCUUGUGUGUGUGUAUUCUAUCUUUCUACUAUACGUGAUCGGCUUAAUGGUAACUUUAUUUAUUUAAAAAAAAAAGGAAAGAAACACAAAUAGUUACCAUUAAACUGAUUAAGGCUGUUUAUUUUUACUGUUAGAAUUGGUCAUAUGAAGAUGUAGAGACGCCGUCAUGCCAUAGACAGUGGGCCUAGCUAAUCAGUGGCUAAAGUUGGAAAGGGGUUGGUUUCCUUUGAUAUGUAUGUAUGUAUGUGUGUGGAUGCACAUGCAUAUAUACAUAUGUAUACACACACAUAGAUAAUGUGCUUAACCACUGCCUUUUAAAACUUUAAAUUAAAUAAAACAUUGGGGUUGAUUGAAUUUAGCCAUCUGUGUGUGUUUCUUUAUGGCUACAUGGGCUAAGCAACACUAUUUCAUAGUUAAUCCUUUUUAAAAAUGCUUUUCCAACCAUUAUCUUAACUUCUCAUCAUAAUAGUCUUUGUAAGGACAGGUAAAGUAUUUGGGGUAUUAGCAAAAAUGUCAUUUAUCCAGAAGUUAACUUCUCUGGCAAAAAAAAAAAGUCAGGAAUUGA